GACGAACGCUGGCGGCGUGCUUAACACAUGCAAGUCCAACGGAAAGGCCCUGCUUUUGUGGGGUGCUCGAGUGGCGAACGGGUGAGUAACACGUGAGUAACCUGCCCUUGACUUUGGGAUAACUUCAGGAAACUGGGGCUAAUACCGGAUAGGAGCUCCUGCUGCAUGGUGGGGGUUGGAAAGUUUCGGCGGUUGGGGAUGGACUCGCGGCUUAUCAGCUUGUUGGUGGGGUAGUGGCUUACCAAGGCUUUGACGGGUAGCCGGCCUGAGAGGGUGACCGGCCACAUUGGGACUGAGAUACGGCCCAGACUUCUACGGGAGGCAGCAGUGGGGAAUAUUGCACAAUGGGCGGAAGCCUGAUGCAGCAACGCCGCGUGCGGGAUGACGGCCUUCGGGUUGUAAACCGCUUUCGCCUGUGACGAAGCGUGAGUGACGGUAAUGGGUAAAGAAGCACCGGCUAACUACGUG
rnacentral:rRNA from 1 species